rnacentral:snRNA from 1 species
GUGCUCACUUCAGCAGCACAUAUACUAAAAUUGGAACGAUACAGAGAUUAACAUGGCCCCUGCGCAAGGAUGACACACAAAUUUGUGAAGCGUUCCAUAUUUUU